rnacentral:rRNA from 1 species
AGGGCCCGAGCGUUAAUCGGAAUCACUGGGCUUAAAGGGUGCGCAGGCGGACCUGUAAGUGCUUUGUGAAAUCCCAUGGCUUAACCUUGGAACUGCAUUUUUAACUACCGGGCUAGAGUACGUCAGAGGGGGGUAGAAUUCCACGUGUAGCAGUGAAAUGCGUAGAGAUGUGGAGGAAUACCGAUGGCGAAGGCAGCCCCCUGGGAUGAUACUGACGCUCAUGCACGAAAGCGUGGGGAGCAAACA